GACGAACGCUGGCGGCGUGCUUAACACAUGCAAGUCGAACGGAAAGGCCCUGCUUUUGUGGGGUGCUCGGGUGGCGAACGGGUGAGUAACACGUGAGUAACCUGCCCUUGACUUUGGGAUAACUUCAGGAAACUGGGGCUAAUACCGGAUAGGAGCUCCUGCUGCAUGGUGGGGGUUGGAAAGUUUCGGCGGUUGGGGAUGGACUCGCGGCUUAUCAGCUUGUUGGUGGGGUAGUGGCUUACCAAGGCUUUGACGGGUAGCCGGCCUGAGAGGGUGACCGGCCACAUUGGGACUGAGAUACGGCCCAGACUCCUACGGGAGGCAGCAGUGGGGAAUAUUGCACAAUGGGCGGAAGCCUGAUGCAGCAACGUCGCGUGCAGGAUGACGGCCUUCGGGUUGUAAACCGCUUUCGCCUGUGACGAAGCGUGAGUGACGGUAAUGGGUAAAGAAGCACCGGCUAACUACGUG
rnacentral:rRNA from 1 species